rnacentral:rRNA from 1 species
GGGAACAUACCCUUUUCUACGGAAUAGCUCUGGGAAACUGGAAUUAAUACCGUAUACGCCCUACGGGGGAAAGAUUUAUCGGGGAAGGAUUGGCCCGCGUUGGAUUAGCUAGUUGGUGGGGUAAAGGCCUACCAAGGCGACGAUCCAUAGCUGGUCUGAGAGGAUGAUCAGCCACAUUGGGACUGAGACACGGCCCAAACUCCUACGGGAGGCAGCAGUGGGGAAUAUUGGACAAUGGGCGCAAGCCUGAUCCAGCCAUGCCGCGUGAGUGAUGAAGGCCUUAGGGUUGUAAAGCUCUUUCACCGAUGAAGAUAAUGACGGUAGUCGGAGAAGAAGCCCCGGCUAACUUCGUGCCAGCAGCCGCGGUAAUACGAAGGGGGCUAGCGUUGUUCGGAAUUACUGGGCGUUAAGCGCACGUAGGCGGAUAUUUAAGUCAGGGGUGAAAUCCCAGAGCUCAACUCUGGAACUGCCUUUGAUACUGGGUAUCUUGAGUAUGGAAGAGGUAAGUGGAAUUGCGAGU